CCUCCUUGCACACAUCAGCAGCUGCAACAGUGGUAGCAUUGCCUUUGGUGGGCUGUGGUGACCUGGCUUGGAACAUUGGCAGUAGCUGCUUACAUCAGGCACGGAGGAUUGUAAUUUGGCAGCUGGCAGAACUGUGCUUGGAGCACACCUGAGACAUCCCGGAGCACCCUGACCUAUUGGAAGUGGGGGAUGAACCUCCAGCAGAGGAGGAGCACAGCCCUCUAAAUCUCAGAGGAGAAUUCUGGAAAAUCAAAGGGCACAUAGCUGACUUACCUCUGCUCCUGGACAGACAGAACCAAAAUACACCCUGAACAACGAAAGUAAGCACGGUCUCCAUGAAGUACCAGGGGAAGAAAUCUCAAAUCAUCCCCAAACUCCAGGAAGUCCAGAGGAGACUGCAAGUCUAAGAACCCUGAGUUACCUCAACUGGCACCAACAGGGAAACACUGAAUGUAACCCAGCCCUGUUGGUGGGCGUAGCCUGGAAAGAGGACUGACUACGUGUGCACGUCAUCGUCUGUGUAUAAUUCUUCUCUGUCAUUACUCAUUUUGAAUUCUCCCAAGUUAUAUGCAUAAAUCUUUGCUGCAAUACAUUUAUAGGGAUUUCUCCCAGUAGACUUUUAUGGCCACAAGAAGAUAAACAUUUGUUCAAAUAUUUUCUUGUUAUUGCCAUGAUAUUCUGUGGCUAAAUUUUAAAUGACUUGUGAAAUUUCCUGCUCAUUUAUCCUCCCUAAGGCUAAUGCCAUUUUCAGUAAGGGUGUCCCAGUUAACCAACUUUCCAUGGGUAAUCUCUCCAGCCUCAGUUUCUACCAGCUGAGGGGUUAGAUUCGAGAAGCUUGAAGUCCCUGCCAGCUUCAACAUUCUAACAUCUGCUCAGGACUCUUCGUAACCCACCUCCCAGGUUAUUUAAUGAGUUUGAAGCUCACUUUUCUCUGAGGCGAAGUGUGAUCUGGGCAUGUCCCUUGAAAGCCUUCCAUAGGAUAUGACUACUCUCCAUGACUUCACACCAGAAGGCCUUGAGUAAAGAUCACUAUUGAGCUGAUUUUGCCAAAAGAAACAGUUUUGUUUUAAGAAUGUUUUCCUUCCCCGGUCGAUGUGGCUCAGUUGGUUGAAUGUGGUCCCAU